CAAAUACUCCCUCCGUCCGGAAAUACUUGUCAUCAAAAUGGAUAAAAGGAAAUGUAUCUAGACGUAUUUUAGUUUUAGAUACAUCUCUUUUUAUCCAUUUUGAUGACAAGUAUUUUCGGACGGAGGCAGUAUUUA
rnacentral:pre_miRNA from 1 species